rnacentral:rRNA from 1 species
UACGAAGGGGGCUAGCGUUGUUCGGAAUUACUGGGCGUAAAGCGCACGUAGGCGGAUCGAUCAGUCAGGGGUGAAAUCCCAGGGCUCAACCCUGGAACUGCCUUUGAUACUGUCGAUCUGGAGUAUGGAAGAGGUGAGUGGAAUUCCGAGUGUAGAGAUGAAAUUCGUAGAUAUUCGGAGGAACACCAGUGGCGAAGGCGGCUCACUGGUCCAUUACUGACGCUGAGGUGCGAAAGCGUGGGGAGCAAACAGG